rnacentral:rRNA from 1 species
GACGAACGCUGGCGGCGUGCCUAAUACAUGCAAGUUGAGCGCUGAAGGUUGGUACUUGUACCAACUGGAUGAGCAGCGAACGGGUGAGUAACGCGUGGGGAAUCUGCCCUUUAGCGGGGGACAACAUUUGGAAACGAAUGCUAAUACCGCAUAAAAACUUUAAACACAAGUUUUAAGUUUGAAAGAUGCAAUUGCAUCACUCAAAGAUGAUCCCGCGUUGUAUUAGCUAGUUGGUGAGGUAAAGGCUCACCAAGGCGAUGAUACAUAGCCGACCUGAGAGGGUGAUCCGCCAAAUUGGGACUGAGAAAAGGCCCAAACUCCUACGGGAGGCAGCAGUAGGGAAUCUUCGGCAAUGGACGAAAGUCUGACCGAGCAACGCCGCGUGAGUGAAGAAGGUUUUCGGAUCGUAAAACUCUGUUGGUAGAGAAGAACGUUGGUGAGAGUGGAAAGCUCAUCAAGUGACGGUAACUACACAGAAAGGGACGGCUAACUACGUG